AAGCGGCAAUAGCUCAGAUUUGAAAUCUGGUCCUUUCAGGGCCCGAGUUGUAAUCUGCAGAGGAUGCUUCGGUGUCAGCCUCGGCCUAAGUUCCUUGGAACAAGACGUCACAGAGGGUGAGAAUCCCGUAUGUGGUCGGCUGCUUUCACCAUGUGAAGCUCCUUCGACGAGUCGAGUUGUUUGGGAAUGCAGCUCUAAAUGGGAGGUAAAUUUCUUCUAAAGCUAAAUAUUGGCCAGAGACCGAUAGCGCACAAGUAGAGUGAUCGAAAGAUGAAAAGCACUUUGGAAAGAGAGUUAAAAAGCACGUGAAAUUGUUGAAAGGGAAGCGCUUGCAAUCAGACUUGCUCAUGAUGGCUUAUCCAAGCUAUAACGGCUUGGUGCACUCCUUCAUGGUCAGGCCAGCAUCAGUUCGGGCGGCCGGAUAAAGGGUCUGGGAAUGUGGCUCCCCUCGGGGAGUGUUAUAGCCCAGAUUGUAAUGCGGUCAGCCUGGACUGAGGUCCGCGCUUCGGCUAGGAUGCUGGCGUAAUGGUUGUAAGCGGCCCGUCUUGAAACACGGACCAAGGAGUCUAACAUCUAUGCGAGUGUUUGGSUGUUAAACCCAUACGCGUAAUGAAAGUGAACGGAGGUGGGAACCCGUAAGGGCGCACCAUCGACCGAUCCUGAUGUCUUCGGAUGGAUUUGAGUAAGAGCAUAGCUGUUGGGACCCGAAAGAUGGUGAACUAUGCGUGGGUAGGGUGAAGCCAGAGGAAACUCUGGUGGAGGCUCGCAGCGGUUCUGACGUGCAAAUCGAUCGUCAAACCUGCGCAUAGGGG
rnacentral:rRNA from 1 species